rnacentral:rRNA from 1 species
CCUAGGGAGGCAGCAGUGAGGAAUUUUCCGCAAUGGGCGAAAGCCUGACGGAGCAAUACCGCGUGAGGGAUGAAGGAUUUUGGUCUGUAAACCUCUUUUCUCAAGAAAGAAGUUCUGACGGUACUUGAGGAAUAAGCAUCGGCUAACUCCGUGCCAGCAGCCGCGGUAAUACGGGGGAUGCAAGCGUUAUCCGGAAUGAUUGGGCGUAAAGCGCCUGUAGGUUGUUUAUUAAGUCCGUUGUUAAAGCCUAGGGCUUAACCCUAGAAAAGCAAUGGAAACUAGUAGACUAGAGUAUGGCAGGGGUAGAGGGAAUUUCUAGUGUAGCGGUGAAAUGCGUAGAUAUUAGAAAGAACACCGGUGGCGAAAGCGCUCUACUGGACCAUUACUGACACUCAGAGGCGAAAGCUAGGGUAGCAAAAGGGAUUAGAUACCCCUGUAGUCCUAGCCGUAAACGAUGGAUACUAGAUGUUGUGCAUUAUGUACAGUAUCGUAGCUAACGCGUUAAGUAUCCCGCCUGGGGAGUACGCUCGCAAGGGUGAAACUCAAAUGAAUUGACGG